ACGGCUCAGUAACACGUGGACAACCUACCCUCAGACCUGGGAUAAACCUGGGAAACUGGGUAUAAUACCGGAUAGGUCUUGGAUGCUGGAAUGCACCGAGGCCCAAAGCUCCGGCGUCUGAGGAUGGGUCUGCGGCCUAUCAGGGUAGUAGUGGGUGUAAAGUACCUACUAGCCUACGACGGGUACGGGUCGUGAGAGCGAGAGCCCGGAGAUGGAUUCUGAGACACGAAUCCAGGCCCUACGGGGUGCAGCAGGCGCGAAAACUUUACAAUGCCGGCAACGGCGAUAAGGGGACCUCGAGUGCCAGGAUACAAUCCUGGCUGUCGUAAUGCCUAAAAAGCAUUAUAUAGCAAGGGCCGGGCAAGACCGGUGCCAGCCGCCGCGGUAACACCGGCGGCUCGAGUGGUAACCGCUAUUAUUGGGUCUAAAGGGUCUGUAGCCGGCCUGGUAAGUCUUUUGGGAAAUCCGGCAGCUCAACUGUCGGGCUAUCAGAGGAUACUGCUAGGCUCGAGACCGGGAGAGGUGAGAGGUACUUCAUGGGUAGGGGUGAAAUCUUGUAAUCCUUGAAGGACCACCAGUGGCGAAGGCGUCUCACCAGAACGGAUCUGACGGCAAGGGACGAAAGCUAGGGGCACGAACUGGAUUAGAUACCCGGGUAGUCCUAGCCGUAAACGAUACUCGCUAGGUGUCGGCCACGGUGCGACCGUGGUCGGUGCCGUAGGGAAGCCGUGAAGCGAGCCACC
rnacentral:rRNA from 1 species